rnacentral:rRNA from 1 species
ACGCCGCGUGAGUGAAGAAGGUCUUCGGAUCGUAAAGCUCUGUUGCACGGGACGAAAACUGGGUUUGAAAACAUUGAACCUGGGUGACGGUACCGAGCGAGGAAGCCACGGCUAACUACGUGCCAGCAGCCGCGGUAAUACGUAGGUGGCGAGCGUUGUCCGGAAUUAUUGGGCGUAAAGGGAGCGCAGGCGGACAUAUAAGUCCAUCUUAAAAGUGCGGGGCUCAACCCCGUGAGGGGAUGGAAACUGUAUGCCUUGAGUGCAGGAGAGGAAAGCGGAAUUCCCAGUGUAGCGGUGAAAUGCGUAGAUAUUGGGAGGAACACCAGUGGCGAAGGCGGCUUUCUGGACUGUAACUGACGCUGAGGCUCGAAAGCCAGGGGAGCGAACGGGAUUAGAUACCCCGGUAGUCCUGGCCGUAAACGAUGAAUGCUAGGUGUAGGAGGUAUCGACCCCUCCUGUGCCGGAGUUAACGCAAUAAGCAUUCCGCCUGGGGAGUACGGUCGCAAGACUGAAACUCAAAGGAAUUGACGGGGGCCCGCACAAGCGGUGGAGUAUGUGGUUUAAUUCGACGCA